ACGAACGCUGGCGGCGUGCUUCACACAUGCAAGUCGAACGGAAAGGCCCUGCUUUUGUGGGGUGCUCGAGUGGCGAACGGGUGAGUAACACGUGAGUAACCUGCCCUUGACUUUGGGAUAACUUCAGGAAACUGGGGCUAAUACCGGAUAGGAGCUCCUGCUGCAUGGUGGGGGUUGGAAAGUUUCGGCGGUUGGGGAUGGACUCGCGGCUUAUCAGCUUGUUGGUGGGGUAGUGGCUUACCAAGGCUUUGACGGGUAGCCGGCCUGAGAGGGUGACCGGCCACAUUGGGACUGAGAUACGGCCCAGACUCCUACGGGAGGCAGCAGUGGGGAAUAUUGCACAAUGGGCGGAAGCCUGAUGCAGCAACGCCGCGUGCGGGAUGACGGCCUUCGGGCUGUAAACCGCUUUCGCCUGUGACGAAGCGUGAGUGACGGUAAUGGGUAAAGAAGCACCGGCUAACUACGUG
rnacentral:rRNA from 1 species